AAUUCUGUUUGGAUGCUAUGGGGAAAUCUUCGAAAUAGCGGCACUUCUAAUCCACAGGAAAUACCAGAGGUUUCUGUCGCACUUGCAGAGCUGCAAUUCAUACCCAGGAGCAGUCUUGUUCAACAAAUGUAAUCCAGUCCUAUGUGUGGGCAAGUUUUCCAGAGGUGUAGUUCACAUCGCAAUGAUGAAGAAUUUGAGAAACUGCUUUAUUUAAUACCACAAUGACUACAAGUGCACCCAAGGCUUCUUUCCUGCAAAUCUCGGUGCUGUCAGUGACAAGCAUGUUCACAAGAAAUAGAAAGAAACACAAUAGCAGCAAUGAAGAAACACACAUGACGGAGAUGAACAAACAACCAAUGUGCAAAAGGCAACAAACUGCAAAUAAAAAAUAAAAUAAAAUUGAA